rnacentral:rRNA from 1 species
UACGGGGGGGGCAAGCGUUGUCCGGAAUUAUUGGGCGUAAAGAGCUCGUAGGCGGUGUGUCGCGUCGGCCGUGAAAACUUGCAGCUUAACUGUGGGCGUGCGGUCGAUACGGGCAUCACUGGAGUUCGGCAGGGGAGACUGGAAUUCCUGGUGUAGCGGUGAAAUGCGCAGAUAUCAGGAGGAACACCGGUGGCGAAGGCGGGUCUCUGGGCCGAUACUGACGCUGAGGAGCGAAAGCGUGGGGAGCGAACAGG